rnacentral:rRNA from 1 species
AGAGUUUGAUCCUGGCUCAGAUUGAACGCUGGCGGCGUGCUUAACACAUGCAAGUCGAACGAGAUCCUUCGGGGUCUAGUGGCGAACGGGUGAGUAACACGUGAGCAACCUGCCCCUGGCUCUGGGAUAGCCUCCGGAAACGGGGAUUAAUACCGGACAUGACCUGCGUCGGCAUCGAUGCGGGUGGAAAGUUUUUCGGC